AUUUUUGCGCCGAAUUUUGGUUUCGAGACUACGUUAGUAUUCUCGGAUUAAAAGGGAAUCAAGUGAAAAGGCAACGCGCCUUCAGUCUUGAACUGUUCCCGCAACUGUAAGCAUGUGCUGGCUUUGUUCAGUACCUCACUUCAAAAUGAGUUGCUAUAACUACAUGACCACUGAAUUUUCGGGAAGGUAUAUAGCAAAUUGCAAGUCAGGAGACCUGCCAAAUUUCAUAAUUAAUG
rnacentral:ncRNA from 2 species